rnacentral:rRNA from 1 species
AUUGAACGCUAGCGGGAUGCCUUACACAUGCAAGUCGAACGGAGUGGCGAACGGGUGAGUAAUGUAUCGGAACGUGCCCAGUAGCGGGGGAUAACUUCGCGAAAGCGUAGCUAAUACCGCAUACUAUCGGAUCGGCCUAUUUCGGAUUAGCUAGUUGGUGGGGUAAAGGCUUACCAAGGCGACGAUCCGUAACUGGUUUGAGAGGAUGACCAGUCACACUGGGACUGAGACACGGCCCAGACUCCUACGGGAGGCAGCAGUGGGGAAGUUUGGACAAUGGGGGAAACCCUGAUCCAGCCAUCCCGCGUGUGCGAAGAAGGCCUUCGGGUUGUAAAGCACUUUUGGCAGGGAAGCGGUACCUGCAGAAUAAGCACCGGCUAACUACGUGCCAGCAGCCGCGGUAAUAC